UACGUAGGGGGGCAAGCGUUUGUCCGGAAUCAUUGGGCGUAAAGAGCGUGUAGGCGGCUCGAUAAGUCUGCUGUGAAAGUCCAGGGCUCAACCCUGGAAGGCCGGUGGAAACUGUCGGGCUAGAGUCCGGAAGAGGCGAGUGGAAUUCCCGGUGUAGCGGUGAAAUGCGCAGAUAUCGGGAGGAACACCAAUGGCGAAGGCAGCUCGCUGGGACGGUACUGACGCUGAGACGCGAAAGCGUGGGGAGCAAACAGGG
rnacentral:rRNA from 1 species